rnacentral:rRNA from 1 species
UACAGAGGUGGCAAGCGUUAAUCGGAAUUACUGGGCGUAAAGCGCACGCAGGUGGCUGAGUCAGUCGAUUGUGAAAGCCCUGGGCUUAACCUGGGAAUUGCAGUCGAUACUACUCAGCUAGAGUUUGGGAGAGGGAUGCGGAAUUCCAGGUGUAGCGGUGAAAUGCGUAGAGUAUCUGGAGGAACACCGGUGGCGAAGGCGGCAUCCUGGACCAAUACUGACGCUGAGGAGCGAAAGCCAGGGGAGCAAAGCGGG